GGAGAAGGAAGGGUCGCCGGC
rnacentral:siRNA from 1 species